CCAAAGUGCUAGGAUUACAGGCGUGAGCCACUGUGCCCGGCUGGCUUUCAUAUCUCUUAUUCUUUCUGCUUCCGCUCUCUCCUGUCCCCUAUUAGCCAUGGGUUCCAGAGAGGAGAGAAGGCUCGGGAGAGCAGGGGACUCAGGAGGUCACCCUGCUACCCUCACCUUUUUAAUAACCCUCCUCAAACCCUGGUUCCACGUCUCCCUCACUCAAGGAUUUAUGUCUCAUUUUCAAUGGAAUGUUACAUUUGGUCAGACCACGAAGAAAACUCCUCAUUAUAAACUAGGAAAUGUGUGGAGAGAGAAUUAUUUACCCAAGGCAGUGCUCAAUCAGUGUUGCCCGAAUAUUUAUUUAGCCCACACACGGAGAAGUUGUGUUAAUGUUUGCCAAAGAAUGUAGCUUUAUAAAGUAACUGGGUCAAAAAAGACAGCAUAUCAUUUUACAAAUAACUUUAAAAUUGCUUAAGUUAAAUAGCUGGGCUCUCUCAGGUUUGUCUUUUCAAAAACGCUGCAGAAACAAUAUCCAGAAUUAUGUCUAAUAAAAUACAGGUAUUACAAAGUGGCUGUUUAGCCCAUUAAAGAAAAUGGAGAGUGAAAUCUGAAUUAUUUCUACCCGAGGCAGAAGCAGACAAAGUUACCAAAAUUAUGUUAGGCCGACGUCGCAAUUCUUCAAGUCUGCAGGGCGGCAAGGCUAACAGCUCCUGCACCAAGACUCUAUUAGGAGAGCUGUAUUUUUCAGUCAACAAUGACAGGCAUUCCAUUUCUCAGCCUCAAAUCUAGUGUAGCUAUGGGGAAUUCACCCAAAACAUUUGCUUUUGCUUUAUCAGUGGCAUUUGUCUGCCUCAAAAGCCUUGUGAGGGAGAGGGCUACUACGUGACGCUGCCAGGCAAUGCUGUUGGAGGCAGCUGAUUUGAUGGACAAGAAGGGGAGCAGUGACCACCUGGGUCACUCUGACUCCGCCCUCUCUGAGCCAAGUGAAUCUGAGCAAUGAUGUCAUAAUAAUCAUCAAUAGCAACAGUGGCUGCGCGUGAGGGGCGUGGUGGUUCACGCCUGUAAUCCCAACACUUUGGGAAGCCGAGGUGGGCAGAUCAUUUGAGCUGAGGAGUUCAAGACCAGCCUGGACAACAUGCUGAAACCCCAUCUCUACUAAAACUACAAAGAAUUAGCCAGGCAUGGUAGCACAUGCCUGUAGUCCCAGCCACUCAGGAGCCUAAGGCAGGAGAAUUGCUUGAACUUCCCCAGCUUCAAGAGGAAGAGUCUGCAGUGAGCCGAGAUGGCGCCACUGCACUCCAGCCUGGGUGACAAGAGUAAAACUCCCUCUCAAAACAAACAAACAAACCAAAAAAACAAAUAGCAACAGCAACCACAAUCAUCAUCACCAUCAAGGCUGGAACAAGGAUGAGGCAGGCAGGCUCUGAUAGCAACAGGAGGAAGCAGACCAAGGAGGGAGAGAAAGGAAGGCAGAGAAGGGGAAAAAAAAACACAAAUGAUAAUAAUAGAUGCUGACAUUUACGGAGCACUUACUAUGUGCUGGGAACCAUGCUGACGGCACACCGAAUCCACUGAACAGGUGGAUCUCUUUGGGUUUUGGAAUAACAAAAAAGGGACUGUACAUGGAUAUUUCCAAGCUGGAACCGAGGCACUUUCUAGACGAAGGCAGCCUUAUCCCCAGGAGAUGAUUGAAAAUGUAAGAACUAUUCUGAGCCUGCAGGCCAUAGCCAAAGAGGACCUACUGUUAAGUUUUCAAGACCACCCAGAAAGAAAUUUGAAGUUGGGUUUAUAUCCUUAAUCCCUCAGUUAGAAAAAAAAGAAAAGUGAAGAAACUGCAUCUCCAAGAUCCUGCUAUAUCAACUUCAGUUUUUUGAAGUUAAAUUUGAUUUUUAAAUCCCUUGGCUGAUGAGACCUGUGUGGGUUUUUUUUUGUUGUUUUUUUGUUUUGUUUUGUUUUGUUUUAUCAUUGUACCUCUAUUUUAAAAAUAGAGACUUGUGGUUCUUUUUCCAAAAGCAGUCCAACAGAAAGUGAAUGGUGGUCAAUGCAUAAUAAAAUGAGAGUUACCUUUUGACUUGGAAG
rnacentral:lncRNA from 10 species